rnacentral:rRNA from 1 species
UAAAAGUUGAAUAUUACGAACAAUGGUUUAAAAUUUAAAGAUUUUGCGGUGUCUUAUAAAAUCAGGGGAACCUGUCUCAUAAUUCGAUAGUCCACGACUACCUCACUUCUCUUGAAUUCAGCUUGUAUACUGCCGUUGAAAGCAAACAUCUAAAAGAGGCGGUAUGCUAAUAAAUUGGUUCAUCUAACUUAAUUACAUCAGGUCAAAGUGCAGCCAAUGAGGUGAUGAUGGGUAACAAUUUAAAAAAGAAAGGAUUAAAAUAUUAAAAAUUUUUAUUAAAUUGACUUGAGUGUAAUUUAUAUUUAAGUACUAGUGAACUCCCCACCUAAGACAUGUACACAUCGCCCG